rnacentral:tRNA from 1 species
GGCGGUAUAGCUUAGUUGGCUAGAGCGUUCGGCUCAUACCCGAAAGGUCAUAGGUUCGACUCCUAUUACCGCUA